rnacentral:rRNA from 1 species
UACGAAGGGGGCUAGCGUUGCUCGGAAUCACUGGGCGUAAAGCGCACGUAGGCGGCUUCUUAAGUCAGGGGUGAAAUCCUGGAACUCAACUCCAGAACUGCCUUUGAUACUGAGAAGCUUGAGUCCGGGAGAGGUGAGUGGAACUGCGAGUGUAGAGGUGAAAUUCGUAGAUAUUCGCAAGAACACCGGUGGCGAAGGCGGAUCUCUGGGCCGAUACUGACGCUGAGGAG